CACCUACGGGAGGCAGCAGUAGGGAAUCUUCCACAAUGGACGAAAGUCUGAUGGAGCAACGCCGCGUGAGUGAAGAAGGGCUUCGGCUCGUAAAACUCUGUUGGUAGUGAAGAAAGAUAGAGGGAGUAACUGGCCUCUUUUUGACGGUAAUUACCUAGAAAGUCACGGCUAACUACGUGCCAGCAGCCGCGGUAAUACGUAGGUGGCAAACGUUAUCCGGAUUUAUUGGGCGUAAAGCGAGUGCAGGCGGUUUCUUAAGUCUGAU
rnacentral:rRNA from 1 species